CACGUAGGGGGCAAGCGUUGUCCGGAUUUAUUGGGCGUAAAGAGCUCGUAGGUGGUUCGGUAAGUCAGGUGUGAAACCUCCAGGCUCAACCUGGAGACGCCACUUGAUACUGCUGUGACUGGAGUCCGGUAGGGGAGCGUGGAAUUCCUGGUGUAGCGGUGAAAUGCGUAGAGAUCGGGAGGAACACCCGUGGCGAAGGCGGCCAUCUGGACCAGUACUGACGCUGAGGCACGAAAGCGUGGGGAGCAAACAGG
rnacentral:rRNA from 1 species